UUUAAGUUCAAAUACAGCAGAGCCAUUCUCAGCUGGGUUUGAUUCCUUUCACCAGAAGAGAUUCUGAUUCUCAAAUUGAGGAGAGAGAAUUCAGGUUAUAUGCUCAAAGAAGGCAUCUUCUGGACAGCUUGCAGUCCCUUCCUGGUUGUGCACCAAGAAAUCCAGACUACUCUAAUGGGAAAGAGCAGCAUUAGGGUCAGUAUCUGUAGAAAACUUUACAGGAAACACAUUCAAUACACUGAACUUUCACAGGAAAAAUUAUAUCAAGGGGCAG